AAUUCGAGGCUACACGAGAACCUUACAGGGUUUGACAUGCAAGUGGUAGGAAUCCGAAAGGUGACCGACCCUUCGGGGAGCUUGCACAGGUGCUGCAUGGCUGUCGUCAGCUCGUGUCGUGAGAUGUUCGGUUAAGUCCGCUAACGAGCGCAACCCUCGUCGUGUGUUAUACGUGUCACACGAUACUGCCGGUAUCAAGCCGGAGGAAGGUGGGGAUGAUGUCAAGUCAGCAUGGCCUUUAUAUCCUGGGCUACACACACGCUACAAUGGCAGAUACAAUAGGUUGCGAAACCGCGAGGUGGAGCCAAUCCUCAAAGUCUGUCUCAGUUCAGAUUGUAGGCUGCAACUCGCCUGCAUGAAGUUGGAGUUGCUAGUAAACGCAGGUCAGCUAUACUGCGUUGAAUACGUUCCCGGGGUUU
rnacentral:rRNA from 1 species